UUUUUUUGCGAUUGGCAUGUUGGCAGUGUUGUUAGCUGGUUGUGUGGCUACAUUGUAUAUACGACCGCUAUCGGCACUGCAAUUAUGACGAUCGUAGGGU